ACUCUGGGGAGACUGCCGGUGAUAAACCGGAGGAAGGUGGGGACGACGUCAAGUCAUCAUGGCCCUUACGGGAUGGGCUACACACGUGCUACAAUGGCGCGUACAAAGGGCAGCGAACCUGCGAGGGUAAGCGAAUCUCAUAAAGCGCGUCGUAGUCCGGAUUGGAGUCUGCAACUCGACUCCAUGAAGUCGGAAUCGCUAGUAAUCGUGGAUCAGAAUGCCACGGUGAAUACGUUCCCGGGCCUUGUACACACCGCCCGUCACACCAUGGGAGUGGGCUGCACCAGAAGUGGUUAGUUUAACCUUCGGGAGAACGAUCACCACGGUGUGGUUCAUGACUGGGGUGAAGUCGUAACAAGGUAGCCGUAGGGGAACCUGCGGCUGGAUCACCUCCUUA
rnacentral:ncRNA from 1 species